AAACAUGGUUUUUUGAUUAUAAUUUAAAAUCUGACCUGCUCAAUGAAUUAAUUUAAAUAGCUGCAGUAUUCUGACUGUACAAAGGUAGCAAAAUCAAUAGUUUUUUAAUUAAAAACUGGAAUGAAAGGUUUGAUAAAGUUAAAAUUGUCUCAAAUUUAAUAAAAUUAGAAUUUAAUUUAUAGUUAAAAUUCUAUAAUGAUUUUAAAAGACGAGAAGACCCUAUAGAAUUUUAUAGUAUUUUUAAUAUAAAAUUUUAAUUAUAUUUAUUUCUUUAUUAAAAAUAUUAUUUGAUUGGGGAAAUUUUUAAAUUUAAUAAAUUUUAAAUUAUUUUUAACCAAAAAUUUUUGAGUUUUUGAUCUUUUUUUUAAAAAUAUAAAGAAUAAAUUACCUUAGGGAUAACAGCGUAAUUUUUUCGGAGAGAUCAUAUUGAUGAAAAAGAUUGCGACCUCGAUGUUGAAUUAAGAUAAAAUUUUAAUGUAGAAAUUAAAAAUUUUUGGUCUGUUCGACCAUUAAAAUCUUACAUGAUCUGA
rnacentral:rRNA from 1 species